rnacentral:rRNA from 1 species
UGGGGAAUAUUGCACAAUGGGCGCAAGCCUGAUGCAGCCAUGCCGCGUGUGUGAAGAAGGCCUUCGGGUUGUAAAGCACUUUCAGCGGGGAGGAAGGCGGUGAGGUUAAUAACCUCAUCGAUUGACGUUACCCGCAGAAGAAGCACCGGCUAACUCCGUGCCAGCAGCCGCGGUAAUACGGAGGGUGCAAGCGUUAAUCGGAAUUACUGGGCGUAAAGCGCACGCAGGCGGUUUGUUAAGUCAGAUGUGAAAUCCCCGGGCUCAACCUGGGAACUGAAUCUGAUACUGGCAAGCUUGAGUCUCGUAGAGGGGGGUAGAAUUCCAGGUGUAGCGGUGAAAUGCGUAGAGAUCUGGAGGAAUACCGGUGGCGAAGGCGGCCCCCUGGACGAAGACUGACGCUCAGGUGCGAAAGCGUGGGGAGCAAACAGG